rnacentral:lncRNA from 1 species
CUGGAGGAAGACAGGAAGCUGAGGACCAUCCUAUGACUGCCAGGAAAAGCUAAGUGGUCAUGAAUGUAAAGAAGAACCCAGUGACCUGGAAUUUGAUGAGCGGACAAGAAAAAAAACUGUAUCAAUGUGAAUGAAAUGGCUGAUGUUGGCCUGGUCAAGGAGGUUCCUGCCUACAUUCUGGAGAGAGGUUUCCAGGUCCUCCUCUCAGCAGAUACGGGACAAAGGACCAAUGAAUGAAGGUGACUAUAGCAGUUUAUAUGGUGGAUUACAUUUGAUUUAAGUAUGUUGAACCAUCCCUGCAUCUCUGAGAGGAAGCCUACUUGAUCAUGGUCCUUUAUGUUAACUCGAGAGCCAACAUUUCCCCCAAUGAAGUUGUAUCUAGCCCUGCCUGGUGCUGCCAGCUGAGCCUCAGCCAUGUGGGCAGCAUAUGCACAGUCAUGGUCAGCUCACAGACCACCAUAGAACUAAAAGGGAGAUGGCGACACAACCGCAUUCAAGACUCGGGGGCAGAGGACCAACCUCGUCUAUGUCUGAGGCCUUUGCCCAGAGCUACACUUCCUUCAGGCUGGUUGCCAGGACUCAACCCUGAUUGGAGGCAGAGGAGACACACUCCCGUCUCAGUUUCAAGUCUUCAUGUUUGGGUUGCAAAUGGGAAUUGAUAGUUCCAGCCUCCAGAUAGAUAAUGGAGAUCCACUACCUCCAGACAUCUGCCGCAUAUGUCUAUGACCCACGGGCUCGCUCUGAAAAGGACUGCUUCUGCUUCCCAGCCCUGGAAAUUUGAGCAUCUAGCUGCCACCAAGACUUCAAGCCUGUUUCAUUUAAACCUGUGUGCUGAUCUGUAUAAAGUGGUUUUAUCCCAUUGCCCCCAAGCUACUCAUAAAUCACAUUUUUUUUUAAAUACC